CCUUCCCAAAUCAUUACACCAUAGUGACGGGUCUGUAUCCAGAAUCACAUGGAAUUGUGGACAAUAAGAUGUAUGAUGUCACUCGCAAUGCCUCUUUCAGUUUGAAAGCUGAUGAGAAAUUCAACCCUGCAUGGUACCAGGGUGAACCAGUUUGGCUCACAGCCAUGAAA